CGACUCUUUAAGAAACUUUAAGAAACUUAAGGAAGAGCUUUUAGAGACAUUUUCACGAACAUGGACGUUUAAUAAGGUGAAACUGCGAUAUAAAGCUGGGGUUUUUUGUUAGGAGCCGGUUCUGCUGUUUGAUCUGUCCAAAUCCGUUAUGGGGGAUCCAGCAGAAGCUCUAGAAGAGUUGGGUUCCCAGUCUGGAGUAAUCUCGCACCGCUCCUCCGUUACAGCUCAGAAUGCUGGGAUGGCUGUGGCACCCCAAAUGACUGGAUGUAACAUUGGAUCACUAAACAUGAGUUUUGCGACUUCAGCAAAUCCUAAACAGGCUCCUCUGCAGACUUCAAAGGCUGCCUCGGAUAUUGGCAAGUACCAAUAAUGAACCAUAUAUUGUAAGAAUGACUAUAUUUUAAAAUAUGAGUGUAUUUCUUUUGCAAUAACAGUCAUUUAUUCUCCAAUUCAAAAUUUUAGAAAGCAUCAUAGAAGAAUUGAAAUCAAACUUCAGAAGAAAAUAUGAGAUAAUAUUUGAGGGAAUCGCUAAAAACUACAGAAGACUUAAACUAGAAAACAGGAACCUAACAAACAGCAUGAGACAAGAACCAAACCUGACAAGACUACAAACCGCAAACAGUUUCCAGUUUCCGAAACUGGAAACACCUGAGGAUAAAUCAAGAGGGGGCGGGGUUACAAAAACUGAUGACAGGGUGGGGUUAGGGCGGAGACAGGACCAAAACACAACAGUAAGUACAUGGCUGGGAAACACAUGACAGGUAAACAGAGGGCAGGAGCACACAGGACCAAAUGAGAGAGAAACACAAGACAGACAUGGGCUAAACUGUGACAGCCAGAGUUAGACUUGAUAUGGAGUGUUAGUGAGGAGGGAAUGGUUUAGUACAGGCUAUUAUCCCCAUCUAGUGGCUGGAAUCGAUGGACCAUUGACAGUAAGCACAGGAUUGCUACAUGGAGGGCGUGGCCAGAACAGGAAGAGGCAAGUUUUACCCAUUUCUUCAAGUCUGCUGACUGCCACCACUCCUUUCUUUUUUGGUUAUUUCCUGUUUUAUCUGAGUAAUCCUUAUUUUCAUUUAAGAUCUGAUUUUCUAAGCAAUGUGUUCAUUAUUUACCAUAAAUCUUUUUAUGGACAGUAUUUUACUGUGGAUUACUUUGACAUUGAGAGUAGGAUAUUCUUGCCGAGCCACCACAGUGUUUUCAGUAGGAGAGGAAAACCUUCUUCCAUCAAGCUUAACAUGAAUCAACCAAGGACAUCCUCCAGUAAGUAAGCAAAACAAGAGUGGACGAGUUGGGUAGUAACUGACAGGUGUGUGGUCUGUCUGUUUGAGAGAUAAAACUAUGUUUAUUUUACUUUCUGCUCCUUCAGGGUA
rnacentral:lncRNA from 1 species